rnacentral:rRNA from 1 species
AUUGAACGCUGGCGGCAGGCCUAACACAUGCAAGUCGAGCGGAUGAGUGGAGCUUGCUCCAUGAUUCAGCGGCGGACGGGUGAGUAAUGCCUAGGAAUCUGCCUGGUAGUGGGGGACAACGUUUCGAAAGGAACGCUAAUACCGCAUACGUGCUACGGGAGAAAGUGGGGGAUCUUCGGACCUCACGCUAUCAGAUGAGCCUAGGUCGGAUUAGCUAGUUGGUGAGGUAAAGGCUCACCAAGGCGACGAUCCGUAACUGGUCUGAGAGGAUGAUCAGUCACACUGGAACUGAGACACGGUCCAGACUCCUACGGGAGGCAGCAGUGGGGAAUAUUGGACAAUGGGCGAAAGCCUGAUCCAGCCAUGCCGCGUGUGUGAAGAAGGUCUUCGGAUUGUAAAGCACUUUAAGUUGGGAGGAAGGGCAGUAAGUUAAUACCUUGCUGUUUUGACGUUACCAACAGAAUAAGCACCGGCUAACUUCGUGCCAGCAGCCGCGGUAAUAC